CUUUCAUGACGUGUGAAACAUUUUGUAAAAUCUAGGCUCUUUGUUUUUCAGAGUGAUUCGCAAUCUAGAUACAUCUGAUUGCUCCCCUGCCUGGACUAGAUGAGAUUAAGCAUUUUUGCAAGAAUACAGAUUAAACAGUUUCCUAAUGAGUGGAUUCAGAUUAAACAUGGGCAGCGUGGUGUACUUCUUAGUGCCUCACACCAGGAGACGUUUGAGUCUGUCUGUCCCAUAAUUUGUGAUGCUGUAUUUGGUAAUUUUGGCCAAGGUGGAGUCAGCUAGGCAUCUCUUUGUGAAGGUAGCCUUUCCCCUUUGUUAUUAGUCAGUCAUCUGUGGGAUGAGACAUGAAAGCCCUGUGAACAUCCUGUUCCCUGACAACCCUUCAGAGCUGGUUUCAGUGCCACUGCUGAAGCCUCUGGGAAACGUUGAUUACACUCACGGUGACGGUGGCAAUUUCUUGAAUUCCUUCUACAUUGACUGCCUGCGUUAUUCAGUGAAGCAGACAUGGCCUAUUCCCUACAUUUGCCCCUUGAAAAUGUUCAAUUUUAAUUUAAAAGAUUAAUACAGCCAGGAUAUUCUUUCAACAGGCAAAUAAAAACCGCAGUUUAAACUCUAAGUUUCAAUCAGAAACUAACAGCUCUUGGAUUUCCCAGGGCUCACACUCCUCUGAAACAACUCACGAAGAGCCUGAGGAAGCAGUUCUCACUGGUAAUUCUGUAGUUACUGGAGGUAGUAGAAGGCACACAGAUCAUGCCAUUUCCCUCUAGUGCUUGGAUAAUUGAGAAAGAAAUGGCAGAAAAAUGUGAAUGGUAUUUCCAGACCUUAGCAGGGUAA
rnacentral:lncRNA from 1 species